rnacentral:rRNA from 1 species
UACGUAGGGUGCAAGCGUUUGUCCGGAUUUAUUGGGUUUAAAGGGUGCGUAGGCGGCCCUGUAAGUCAGUGCUGAAAUACCCCGGCUUAACCGGGGGGGUGGCAUUGAUACUGCAGGGCUUGAGUACAGAUGAGGUAGGCGGAAUUGACGGUGUAGCGGUGAAAUGCGUAGAUAUCAGGAGGAACACCUGCGGUGUAGACGGCUUUCUGGACCAUUGUUGACGCUGAGACACGAAAGCGUGGGUAGCAAACAGG